rnacentral:rRNA from 1 species
UUGUUCGCAAUGGGCGCAAGCCUGACGACGCAACGCCGCGUGGAGGAUGAAGACCUUCGGGUCGUAAACUCCUUUCGAUCGAGACGAAUGGCUUCCGGGUGAACAGUCCGGGAGAGUGACGGUACCGAGAGAAGAAGCCCCGGCUAACUCCGUGCCAGCAGCCGCGGUAAUACGGGGGGGGCAAGCGUUGUUCGGAAUUACUGGGCGUAAAGGGCUCGUAGGUGGCCAACUAAGUCAGACGUGAAAUCCCUCGGCUUAACCGGGGAAUGGCGUCUGAUACUGGCUGGCUUGAGUUCGGGAGAGGGAUGCGGAAUUCCAGGUGUAGCGGUGAAAUGCGUAGAUAUCUGGAGGAACACCGGUGGCGAAGGCGGCAUCCUGGACCGAGACUGACACUGAGGAGCGAAAGCCAGGGGAGCAAAC